CCUAAUCGGUACCGUUACACUUCUACUUCCAGGUGGUCAAAUGCUGUACGUAAUUACCCUAAACGUUAUUUUUUACACAACGGAAAGAAAAAGGUGUCUGUGCAUGCAGUAAACUGUGAUUCUCCCAGGAGCUCGGCAUCGCAAGCCAGGUCCUGACGUCAGGACCAGGAAUCAUCUGACGCAGCUGUCUGCACGGCCUCCCUCCCGGUAAAGCCCCCGUGAGCUUGCAGAUGGGUGUCAGAGUCUCAUCUCCAGCUUUACCAAUAAUAUGGACUGUUAAGCUACAGGUGAGGGGGUCUGCCAUAGGGCUUCAGGAAGCCCCAUCUCACUCACAUUGUUGGAGUGGUCGUGACCUGCCAUGACUUGUCGACACAGAGCAAACAUCUGGCACACUAAAACGUUGCCUCCUUUGACAGUGCAGUGUGUGUGGCAUGUACAGCAUUUUCAAGCAGCAGUCGGAGUCUUGCUGGUGUCACAUAGGAGUGCAGGACCUUGUGCAUCUGGAAGAGCUUGGAUGAAUGAAACCUUUCCCCCAGCUCACCACAGUGCAUGCAAGCAUUGUUCUCUUAACUGAAUCAGGAAAAUGUUCCGGGCUGUCUGCAAAUUGGCUAAAAAUGUUCCGGACUGUUUGUGAUUGGGAGUGUUAUUUCAAUGUUGGGCCUCUGAGCAAGGUUCUUAACCUCCAUUUUCUCCAGAGACUAAGUAUGUGUGGUUUGAUAUUGAUAUUUUGACCCAAAUGUUUCAUUUAGAAAAUUGAUUCUAACAUUAAAAUGCUGAUUUUUUUUUAACCUAGCUUCCUGAAAACCUAAGGUCUGCUGCAACUGUAAGCUCCUUUAAAUGAAGGGUUAACCUUACAUUUGCUGUAGUUUUUCAAUACAUGAAAUCAUCCAUCCAUCUUCCAAACCGCUUAUCCUACUGGGUCGCGGGGGGUCCGGAGCCUAUCCCGGAAGCAAUGGGCACGAGGCAGGGAACAACCCAGGAUGGGGGGCCAGCCCAUCGCAGGGCACACUCACACACCAUUCACUCACACAUGCACACCUACGGGCAAUUUAGCAACUCCAAUUAGCCUCAGCAUGUUUUUGGACUGUGGGGGGAAACUGGAGUACCUGGAGGAAACCCCACGACGACAUGGGGAGAACAUGCAAAAUCCAGUCUUGGUUUUGAAACGACUUGGAUCAAAAUGAAAAUCAGUGGUAUCGCCCAUCCCUACCUGGGACUAGGUGACCCUGCUUUAUAUGUAUGUCACUGGAUAAAAACAUCUGCUAAAUAACUAACAUACAAUUUACAACUAACAUACAGUUUGACAGUGACCAUGACUGCACUCCAUCAAGAAUCACAGCAGGAUUACACCAUAGACGCCGGCGAUGGUGCUGGAGGACUGACCCGGUGUGAAUCCAUAAGAAGCCCUGACAGUCUGUAUUCAGCCUUUGUUUGCCUUUGUUUGAUUACUGUUUGUCUGGAGGAUGCCUGCUUAUCUGUAGCUGCGUGACUCAGCACUUUGGAAGGGGAGGUACCUCAUAAGGUCUGUGUAUCUCUGAGGAGGUAUUCAGUUAUUUUCUCUUAUGUAUUUUUAUUACAUCCCAAGUACUUAUACUGCUAACGGUGCUUUUACUCUGCUAAUUAUUUUCUAUGAGAUACUAAAGUUGAAUAGUGAUUUGGCUGAACGGUUGGUUGGGUUUAAUGUGCUCUUUCUGCCUCUACUGCAGGGCUGAAGCUGUUUUUACACAAACCAUCCAGGCAGUUAGGUAGUUACUCUUGUUUGUGUCCGGGCUGUAGUGACUCAUCCACGUUACUCUGUUUAACCCCCUGAUAAUAAAGUUUAUGCCAGCGUCGCUAUGUGUGUGUCAGUGCACACUGCCCUCCCUGGUCACACAGCCCGGCCCCAGCAGCUUCCUCAGGCUACUCUACCUGCUUCCAUAAGCAUGCCGGCUCUUGAAACAUGCCUGCUUCUUAUUUGGGGUCCAUCUAACGUGUCACUGAAUCCCAAAACUAUAGCAAGAAAGUGCUGAAAUAUCAUUUUCACAAGGGCAGACAGCCAGAGCAUUAGUGGAGGUUAGUGGUUAGCAUUAGCUUGGUCAGGAGGAGGAUCAGCAGAUGAAGGUUUGCAAAUUCACUUCCCCUAGAGUCCUCAGGCACUGGGUCUCAGUAAUUACGUUUCUGUAUUAAACAUUACCUGCCCUCGUUGUGAACAGGCUGGCAGAGAAAUUAAAAUUGCAGGCCUUAAUAUCCACCAUCACCCAUAAGUUCUGACAGGAACGAUUUAUGCAAAGUGAUGUAUGUAUUUGAAAAAGCAGGCUCAGGGACUUUGCUCAAGGACCCAACAGUGAAAUUCCUGUCAACACUAGGAUUUGAACCGUUAACCUCCUGCUGAUAGGUACAGCACUUUAACCCACUCACCACCAAUACCAAAAGCCAUUAAUCUCUUUGGACAUCACCGUGAGUUUGAAAACUCUUUGUCCUCAACCGUUCUUUUAAUCACUCUUGCUAGGUGCUCUUCACUUACUGCCGUGUGAAAUUUUAAUGAUUCACAUAGAACAGGGGUCUUCAACAGGGGGCUCCGUGGAGGAACUGCAGGGGGUCUGUGAAUCAUUGUGUAAUAAAUUACUUUUUGUGAAAUUUUCCACAAUAUGUCUAGAAAUUGUAUAUAGACUAAACCAGUGAUAAGUCAAAGUAGUGAUAAAUAAUCACUGUAAACUGCUCUAUGUAAACAUGCUCACUUGUCUCUUUAUUCUACGUGAUUGUGCAGGUGCUCUGCUGGGACAAUAAAGAGUAAUGUAAAGUAAGCUGAAAACACACUGCAUUAAUGAGAACAGUCACAUACACUGUUACUAAUGAGGUGUUAUCCAACAGAAUGGUCAUGCAUGUGGUAAUAUUGAAAUUUGUUUAUUUGUAUAUUCAUGUUCAUGUAUAACCUCCACUGCAACAUAGUCACUGUGCUUCUUCCAUUUAAUUCAGUCUGCUUUGUGUCUUGUACGUUAAAUGCCUGUAAUAAAAGGUGAAAAGAAACACAAAUA